rnacentral:lncRNA from 10 species
ACAUGAGCAAGUAUUGCUUAUCUAGAAAGACGUAUAAUAAAGUUCUUUUGGGGAGAUAAACUAUGAUCCAUUCUAUGUUUCAUGUAAAUCAGGGGCAGCCAAUCUUCUGGCUUCCUUGGGCCACAUUGGAAGAAUUAUCUUGGGCCACACAUAAAAUACACUAACACUAAUGAUAGCUGAUGAGUUUUUAAAAAGAAUCACAAAAGCAAUGUUUUAGCAAAGUUUAUGAAUUUGUGUUGGGCUGCAUUCAAAGCUGUCCUGGGCCGCAAGGUGGAAAAAACUUGAUCUAAAGUAUUUGAUUUUUUUAGAAAAGUUUUUGAAUGGCCAGGUGUGGUGGCUCACACCUGUAAUCCCAGCACUUUGGGAGGCCGAGGCAGGCGGAUCACGAGAUCAGGAGAUCGAGACCAUCCUGGCCAACAUGCUGAAACUCCAUCUCUACUAAAAUACAAAAA